GACGAACGCUGGCGGCGUGCUUAACACAUGCAAGUCGAGCGGUAAGGCCCUUUCGGGGGUACACGAGCGGCGAACGGGUGAGUAACACGUAGGUGACCUGCCCUUAGCUCUGGGAUAAGCCUGGGAAACUGGGUCUAAUACCGGAUAUGACUCCAUGACGCAUGUUGUGGGGUGGAAAGCCUUGUGCGGCUAGGGGAUGGGCCCGCGGCCUAUCAGCUUGUUGGUGGGGUGANGGCCUACCAAGGCGACGACGGGUAGCCGGCCUGAGAGGGCGACCGGCCACACUGGGACUGAGACACGGCCCAGACUCCUACGGGAGGCAGCAGUGGGGAAUCUUGCGCAAUGGGCGAAAGCCUGACGCAGCGACGCCGCGUGGGGAUGACGGCCU
rnacentral:rRNA from 1 species